UACGUAGGGGGCAAGCGUUGUCCGGAUUUAUUGGGCGUAAAGAGCGUGUAGGCGGCUUGGUAGGUCCGCUGUGAAAACUCGAGGCUCAACCUCGAGAUGUCGGCGGAAGCCACUUGGCUAGAGUCCGGAAGAGGAGAGUGGAAUUCCUGGUGUAGCGGUGAAAUGCGCAGAUAUCAGGAAGAACACCUAUGGCGAAGGCAGCUCUCUGGGACGGUACUGACGCUGAGACGCGAAAGCGUGGGGAGCGAACAGG
rnacentral:rRNA from 1 species